CUACGGGGUGCAGCAGUGAGGAAUAUUGCACAAUGGGGGAAACCCUGAUGCAGCAACGCCGCGUGGAGGAUGACGCAUUUCGGUGUGUAAACUCCUUUUAUGAGUCAAGAAAAUGACGGUAGCUCAUGAAUAAGCACCGGCUAACUCCGUGCCAGCAGCCGCGGUAAUACGGAGGGUGCAAGCGUUACUCGGAAUCACUGGGCGUAAAGGACGCGUAGGCGGGCUUGUAAGUCAGGUGUGAAAUCCUAUGGCUCAACCAUAGAACUGCACUUGAAACUACGAGCCUAGAGUAUGGGAGGGGGAGAUGGAAUUAGUGGUGUAGGGGUAAAAUCCGUAGAUAUCACUAGGAAUACCGAAAGCGAAGGCGAUCUCCUGGAACAUAACUGACGCUAAGGCGUGAAAGCGUGGGGAGCAAACGGGAUUAGAUACCCGGGUAGUC
rnacentral:rRNA from 1 species